UGAUCUGUGGCACAAUUGUAGCGCAUUUGACUCCAUAUUAGAAGGUUGAGUGUUUGAUUCACUCUGGGUUCA
rnacentral:tRNA from 1 species